rnacentral:pre_miRNA from 1 species
AGUAUACUCCCUCCGUCCAAUAUUAAGUGGCUUUCUAUUACAUGUAUCUAGACGCUUUUUAGGCAUAGAUGCAUCCAUAUUUGGGCAAAUUUGAGUCACUUAAUAUGAGACGGAGGGAGUAGUAU